GAUGAACGCUGGCGGCGUGCCUAAUACAUGCAAGUCGAGCGAACGGACGAGAAGCUUGCUUCUCUGAUGUUAGCGGCGGACGGGUGAGUAACACGUGGAUAACCUACCUAUAAGACUGGGAUAACUUCGGGAAACCGGAGCUAAUACCGGAUAAUAUUUUGAACCGCAUGGUUCAAAAGUAAAAGACGGUCUUGCUGUCACUUAUAGAUGGAUCCGCGCUGCAUUAGCUAGUUGGUAAGGUAACGGCUUACCAAGGCAACGAUGCCUAGCCGACCUGAGAGGGUGAUCGGCCACACUGGAACUGAGACACGGUCCAGACUCCUACGGGAGGCAGCAGUAGGGAAUCUUCCGCAAUGGGCGAAAGCCUGACGGAGCAACGCCGCGUGAGUGAUGAAGGUCUUCGGAUCGUAAAACUCUGUUAUUAGGGAAGAACAUAUGUGUAAGUAACUGUGCACAUCUUGACGGUACCUAAUCAGAAAGCCACGGCUAACUACGUG
rnacentral:rRNA from 1 species